UGAAGACAACACACCGGACACCCCUGAGAUUUCACAGCAGGAACUUCUUGAAGUUUGCCCUCAACGUCCUGAUCAUCAGGAAGGAACUACAUUCAAUGUUGCCACUACAAGUGAAAAUCUUACUAGACGUGCAGCUGCAUUUACCGUUAAUAUCCGGGGAAAAUGCCACCUGUCACAGAGGAACAUCAACAGCAUUGUCUCUGGAGUCCAGCAGUAUCAAACUUCUCUUCUGAAUACACUGAAGGACAGAAUGAAGAGGAUCUUCGAAAGACAUUC